AUUGGACCGGCUCACGUUUGGAACUAGAAAGCCGGGCAGUGGGACCAAGUGUGUCUGUGGCAUCCCGAGUUGAUUUCAGUAAGAUUUGGUACAUCACUCAGGGAUCUCCAGAGACGCAGAACCAACCGGAGAUUUGUGCCUCAUGUGUAUGUGGAUUCCAGCAAACAUGAAAUUGGUGGGACUGGCUGGCAGGCUGCAGUCCAAUAAUAAAUCAUCUACAUACUGAAGUAAGGUUUCCUCAGGAUACUUUCUGUGGAAGAGGCUUAAAUCCUGGUUGAGUGCGUCAUUGAAGAUGGUGGGAGAGUUUUUGAAUCCUUGAGGCUGUCUGGUCCAGAGGUUUUGUUUUUGUUUCCACAGAAGAUGAGAAGCUGUGGAUUCCUUCCAGGUUAAUAAG
rnacentral:lncRNA from 1 species